rnacentral:rRNA from 1 species
UAGGGAAUCUUCCGCAAUGGGCGAAAGCUUGACGGAGCAACGCCGCGUGAGUGAUGAAGGUCUUCGGAUCGUAAAACUCUGUUAUUAGGGAAGAACAAAUGUGUAAGUAACUAUGCACGUCUUGACGGUACCUAAUCAGAAAGCCACGGCUAACUACGUGCCAGCAGCCGCGGUAAUACGUAGGUGGCAAGCGUUAUCCGGAAUUAUUGGGCGUAAAGCGCGCGUAGGCGGUUUUUUAAGUCUGAUGUGAAAGCCCACGGCUCAACCGUGGAGGGUCAUUGGAAACUGGAAAACUUGAGUGCAGAAGAGGAAAGUGGAAUUCCAUGUGUAGCGGUGAAAUGCGCAGAGAUAUGGAGGAACACCAGUGGCGAAGGCGACUUUCUGGUCUGUAACUGACGCUGAUUUGCGAAAGCGUGGGGAUCAAACAGG